CCCUUAGACGUUCUGGGCCGCACGCGCGCUACACUGACCAGUGCAACAAGCAUCCGUCCUUGGCCGACAGGCUCGGGCAAUCUUUGAACGCUGGUCGUGAUGGGGAUAGACUUUUGCAAUUUUUGGUCUUCAACGAGGAAUUCCUAGUAAACGCAAGUCAUCAACUUGCAUUGAUUACGUCCCUGCCCUUUGUACACACCGCCCGUCGCACCUACCGAUUGAAUGGUCCGGUGAAGCCUCCGGAUUGGCGCGCACCUCGGUGCCGCCGAGAAGUUGGCUAAACCUUACCAUUUAGAGGAAGGUGAAGUCGUAACA
rnacentral:rRNA from 1 species